UUUGAAAUGAGUCUCCUGCUGAGGCUCAAGCUCUGCUAAAGUCCCUAGCUUCAGGCAUCUUAUUUUUGGAGCAGCAUACAAGAAUCUUGAUCCAUCCUGAGCCAGAAAGCCAGAGAGAGGAGGUUCUGACCAGUGUGGCUGCGGAGACAGACUGUACAUAUUAGAUGUCAGAUACCACAGCAAGAAACAAAGAGGUUUGAGUAAAAUAUAUCAAAUCCCA